rnacentral:rRNA from 1 species
AUGGUGCUCUCCAGGGCCGCCUCCGACACCGACGUGUCGGUGCACUCCACCUUCGCCUCCCGCUAUGUCCGCUCGUCCCUCCCGAGGUAUCGCAUGCCGGAGAACUCGAUCCCCAAGGAGGCGGCGUACCAGAUCAUCAACGACGAGCUGAUGCUGGACGGCAACCCGCGGCUGAACCUGGCGUCGUUCGUCACCACGUGGAUGGAGCCCGAGUGCGACAAGCUCAUCAUGGCCUCCAUCAACAAGAACUACGUCGACAUGGACGAGUACCCGGUCACCACCGAGUUCCAGAACCGGUGCGUGAACAUGAUCGCGCAUCUCUUCCACGCGCCGCUGGGCGAGUCGGAGACGGCGGUGGGCGUGGGCACGGUGGGGUCGUCGGAGGCCAUCAUGCUGGCCGGGCUGGCCUUCAAGCGGAGGUGGCAGAACAAGCGCAAGGCCGAGGGCAAGCCCUUCGACAAGCCCAACAUCAUCACCGGCGCCAACGUCCAGGUGUGCUGGGAGAAGUUCGCUCGGUACUUUGAGGUGGAGCUCAAGGAGGUGAAGCUGCGGGAGGGGUACUACGUCAUGGACCCGGAGCAGGCGGUGGAGAUGGUGGACGAGAACACCAUCUGCGUCGCCGCCAUCCUCGGCUCCACGCUCAACGGCGAGUUCGAGGACGUCAAGCGCAUCAACGACCUGCUGGAGGAGAAGAACAAGCAGACAGGGUGGGAGACGCCGAUCCACGUGGACGCGGCGAGCGGCGGCUUCAUCGCGCCGUUCCUGUACCCGGAGCUGGAGUGGGACUUCCGGCUGCCGUGGGUGAAGAGCAUCAACGUGAGCGGCCACAAGUACGGCCUCGUCUACCCCGGCAUCGGCUGGUGCGUCUGGCGCACCAAGGAGGACCUCCCCGACGAGCUCAUCUUCCACAUCAACUACCUCGGCUCCGACCAGCCCACCUUCACUCUCAACUUCUCCAAGGGCUCCAGCCAGGUCAUCGCCCAGUACUACCAGCUCAUCCGCCAUGGCUUGGAGGUAACUUCUUUACCGCAUCGAUCAGGACAGGAGGAUUCAUUUGGUAAAGGAGCUGACACGAUCUACAUCCAUACAAUAACGCAGGGGUACAGGAACAUCAUGGAGAACUGCCAGGAGAACGCCAUGGUGGUGAAGGAGGGCCUGGAGAAGACGGGGCGCUUCAACAUCGUGUCCAAGGACGAGGGCGUGCCGCUGGUGGCCUUCUCGCUCAAGGACCACAGCCGGCACGACGAGUUCGAGAUCUCCGACAUGCUGCGCCGCUUCGGCUGGAUCGUGCCGGCCUACACCAUGCCCGCCGACGCGCAGCACGUCACGGUGCUCCGCGUCGUCAUCCGGGAGGAGUUCAGCCGCACCCUCGCCGAGCGCCUCGUCCUCGACAUCGACACCGUCAUGGCCCAGCUCGACGCGCUCCCCUCCAAGCUCGCGCCCCCCGCCCUGCUGCCGGCCACGCUGCCCAAGACCGUCGUCGUCGCCAACGGCCACGUCAAGAAGACGGAGCUCGAGACGCAGAAGUCGGUCACGGAGGCGUGGAAGAAGUUUGUGCUUGCCAAGAAGACCAACGGCGUCUGCUAG